rnacentral:rRNA from 1 species
GACAGAGGCCCCAAGCGUUAGGCGGAAUCACCGGGCUUAAAGCGUGUGUAGGCGGACGCCUAAGUGUCUUGUGAAAUCCCACGGCUCACCCGUGGAACUGCUGGGCAUACUGGGCGUCUUGGGCCAACUAGGGGCAGCCGGAACAAGCGGUGGAGCGGUGAAAUGCGUAGAUAUCGCUUGGAACGCCGAAGGUGAAAACAGGCUGCUGGGGUUGUGCCGACGCUGAGACACGAAAGCCAGGGGAGCAAACGGG